UACGGAGGGAGCUAGCGUUGUUCGGAAUUACUGGGCGUAAAGCGCGCGUAGGCGGCUUUGUAAGUUAGAGGUGAAAGCCCGGGGCUCAACUCCGGAACUGCCUUUAAGACUGCAUCGCUUGAAUCCAGGAGAGGUGAGUGGAAUUCCGAGUGUAGAGGUGAAAUUCGUAGAUAUUCGCAAGAACACCAGUGGCGAAGGCGGCUCACUGGCCCGGUACUGACGCUGAGGUGCGAAAGCGUGGGGAGCAAACAGG
rnacentral:rRNA from 1 species